GGCCUUUCCCCCGGGCCACUGGGGGCCUGUUACCGGCAGUCGCCGCCCUGCCUUGACUGCCUGGGUGAAUCAGGUGCUAAUCGAAGCCUUGGUCUCUCAGGCUCCCCUGCCUGGGUUUUCUGAGUGCUACCGAUUUAGGCCGGGUGGGGGGAUUCCUACGGCCCUGCCGCACCCACGAAGAGCGAGAAGGCUCACCCGGUGGAGAAAGGUGGGCUCGGUGACUCAUCUCUGGGAUGACCUAACCUCCCGACCCUGGCGGAGCAGAUGUCCGGAUGUCAGACGUCAUACCGUGACUUUGGACGGCCAGUGUGUCCCCUUCAGAUUGUAAACUGGCUCUAGUAGUUGCAGGGAUAUGUUGAUACAAUUGCUUCCGGAAAGCCCCUUUCCUUGCUAAGCAGCACGGUAAUGUCUGCGUUGUGGCUCUGCCUGGAGUGGAAUACUUUCUAACCUGUAGCAGAAUUGUUCAUAACAACGAAGCAAAUGGGGCAGGAAGCUCUCGGCUUUGUGGUUAUUUUAUUCAAGCCAUGUAUGAAGCUUCUUUUUGGUAUAAAGUUCCAGGUGUGAAAUGUUGAAAAGGAGUAGCUGUCUCCCAUUACUGGACAGAGCCAGGCUGUCUUCAGCUGCUUCUAUGUGGCAGGACUUGGUCUCUCCUCAAUAGUUAUAGCAGCUGCUACUUUCCAGAAGAGAAGUAUUGGCUAAAGAAAAGUCAAUGUCAGUAUUUCUCCCUGAAGAAAAAUGCAUAUUGAUCUUCCCCAAAACAAAUCAAUAGUUGUGUUAGGUUCAAUUUGAAUAUUUUCCCUAGGAACUAUCUCAGAGUAACCACGAGAGCCUAAUAGAUUUUCCUUAUAAUAUUAAAUUGACGAGACAACAAUGCUUGAAAGAGUACUUAUUUCAAGGAGAAUGGACAGUUUCCUAAAAGCGGUUAGAUUUGCAUAAAGUGGAGGGUUUGGGCACAUAAAUGCUUUAAUUGAGCAUCCUCUUUCUUCUCUUAACCCCCCCUCACUGCCUACUGUCCCUCAGCCUAGUUACUGCCCCCCAGGUAACAUGGCCUUAGAUAUCCUUUUGCGACCCCAUUUCCAAGCAUUAAGGUGACAUUUUUAUUCAUUUGACCAACAUUUAUUGAAAACCUACUAGGUUCUAUGCAUCGUGCUAGAAGCUGAGGAUACAGAAAUAAAACCCAAACUGCCGCACACUUAACUCACAUGUAUUUAUAAGCUCAUUGGAAAUAGGGACUUACACAUGAAUAACUUCCAGGUAAUAUGGUAUACUCUGAGCUUGUAAAACUUGCUUUUUGGAACUUAGAUGAGGGCACUCAGACUGCCUUAGCUGGCUCUUCUUUUCUAUAAAACGAUGCAUCCUAUCUUAAUAAGGAAGAGGCGAUUAGGACACAGACACACACAGAGGGAAGACCUUAUGAGGACCCAGGGAGAAGACAGCUGUCUACACACCAAGGAGAGAGGCCUCAGGAGGAACCAACCCUGCUGACACCUUGGUCUUGGACUUCCAGCCUCCAGAACUGAGACACAAUAAUGUUCUGCUCUUAAAGGAAAUAACAGAUGUUGUCUGUCCAGCCUGUGGUACUUGGUUAUGGCAGCAGUUCUAGCAAACUAAUACAGAGAAGGAAGCAGCCACUGCCAGAACCAUGACUUUGUCAGGGAGGCCAUGGGGAAGAGAUACCCUAGCCUCUCUCUCCAACUGCUCUCUGAUUUCACUUAAAAAAUAAACCUACCUGGAGGCCAGCAAAGGAGCCCAAGUGAUUUGUUCCAUAUGUACACUCUCCCAGGGCACUUGCAGGACAGAGAAGGGUAAGAAUGGAUUUGGGGGGACAAAGAGAAAAUGAUCAGCAAAGACAUCUCAUCAAGUUUUGAAAAAUCAAGAAGGGCUCCGUGGAAGAGGUGGCUCUUGAACUGAGUGUGGAAUAAUAAAUGAGUUAAUAUGAAUAAAGUACUUAGAAGCUUACUUGUACCAUAACAUGAGUUG